UACAUCACAUCGACAGCGGACCGGGGGGGAAUCACUUCACAUUUAGGUGCUUGCCCUGUGUCUGCUGACGUAGAAUAAUGGACGUUGCUGGGCGCCUGGUGGUGAUUUCUGAGCUUCUGGGAAUCAGCUGUUCCAACAUGU
rnacentral:snoRNA from 1 species